GCAUCAUUUUCAUACACCACUUUAGGGAUAAACCAAAGGUCUAAUUUGGGCAUGUUCCAUAGCUGUUAAUUUAACUCUGUGCAAAGAGAUGUGAAUGAAAAUAAACUAUUCAAGCUGUCAGGUUAACUGAACACCUGUGGUUUGCUUCAGAAUUCUAUUUUCCUUCGUCAAUAUGCUUUACUCUUUGAAGACCUGGUUUAAAACUAAAAUUUCCCUUUUACCAAAAAUUACACUUUGACCAUGGCGGCAUUUUCAGUAAUUUCAAAUCAAUUACACUGAAUAGCACACUCAGUCUCUAAAUUCCUUAAGUUAUAACUGGCCCAUUUAAGUUCUUCCUCUGGGUGGGACUUUAUUGCAAGUGUUCAAAGAUUUUUAUGUGCUACUUACUGUGGUUUAGUUGCUAAGUUGUAUUUGACUCUUUAGCAACCCCAGGGACUGUACCGGUCAGGCUCCUCUGUCCACGGGACUUCCCAAGGCAAGAAUACUGCAGUGGGUUGCCAUUUCCUUCUCCUGGGGAUCCUCCCAACCCAGGGAUCGAACCUGAGUCUCCUGCAUUGCAGGCAUUUUCUUUACCACUGAGCCACCAGGGACGCCCCUGUGCUGUUUACUAGGCUCAUCAUCAGGAAGUAUUUACUCAGCGUUCUGGCCUGCAGCGGCAAAAUCAGGCCAGGCCACCUGCACAGGGGACAGUCAACUCCUGGGGUGGGGUACUCCUUAGUCAGAAUUCUUCUGCCUUGGUAGAGUCCCAAUCUAAGUGUAAAAGGUGAAACUGUAUGUCACUAGGGGUCAACCAACUCCACAGUCAAAAAGGGGCCCAGAUCAGGACAUAAAAAAGUCCACAGCCAUCCUCCUCCUUCAGAAGGCCAGGGCCCAAGGAACCCGCCCACCGGGCUCAGCGGUUGGCUGCCUGAUGAUCUUUGGAGCCCAACCCUUUUAUCCGGAGCGGUAAACCGGCCUCCCCGUGCCCUGCCUACUACCUGAGGGGUAGUUUGUCCAGGUGGAGGUCCUCAAGCCCCGUACCAGUUAACCUGCUGGUGAUUCUUGGAACAUCUCCCCAACAUGCGCCCUUCCCCUGCCUCAUCCCCUUACCAGCCUGGAACCCUCCGUACAAGCUUACAGGAACCAUCCUGACCAGGCUCACAAGUGAAUGACUACUGGAAGGAAGAAAUUAACACGUCCCCUCCAGAGGCUGAUGGGGACCACAAAGUGUUUGAC
ensembl:lncRNA